rnacentral:rRNA from 1 species
GAGUUUGAUCCUGGCUCAGGAUGAACGCUGGCGGCGUGCCUAACACAUGCAAGUCGAGCGGGAAAUACUUGAUUGAAACUUCGGUCGAUUGAUAGUAUGGAGAGCGGCGGACGGGUGAGUAACGCGUAGGCAACCUGCCUUAUGCAGAGGGAUAGCCAUUGGAAACGAUGAUUAAAACCUCAUAAUGCCAAGAGUUCACAUGUACUUUUGGCCAAAGAUUUAUCGGCAUAAGAUGGGCCUGCGUCUGAUUAGCUAGUUGGUGAGGUAACGGCUCACCAAGGCGACGAUCAGUAGCCGACCUGAGAGGGCGAUCGGCCACAUUGGAACUGAGACACGGUCCAAACUCCUACGGGAGGCAGCAGUGGGGAAUAUUGCACAAUGGGCGAAAGCCUGAUGCAGCAACGCCGCGUGAGCGAUGAAGGUCUUCGGAUCGUAAAGCUCUGUCCUUGGGGAAGAUAAUGACGGUACCCUUGGAGGAAGCCCCGGCUAACUACGUGCCAGCCGCCGCGGUAAUUC